rnacentral:rRNA from 1 species
UGGGGAAUAUUGCACAAUGGGCGAAAGCCUGAUGCAGCAACGCCGCGUGAGUGAUGAAGGCCUUCGGGUUGUAAAGCUCUGUCUUUUGGGACGAUAAUGACGGUACCAAAGGAGGAAGCCACGGCUAACUACGUGCCAGCAGCCGCGGUAAUACGUAGGUGGCAAGCGUUGUCCGGAUUUACUGGGCGUAAAGGAUGCGUAGGCGGAUCUUUAAGUGAGAUGUGAAAACCCUAAGCUUAACUUGGGGACUGCAUUUCAUACUGGAAAUCUAGAGUGCGGGAGAGGAGAAUGGAAUUCCUAGUGUAGCGGUGAAAUGCGUAGAGAUUAGGAAGAACACCAGUGGCGAAGGCGAUUCUCUGGACCGUAACUGACGCUGAGGCAUGAAAGCGUGGGUAGCAAACAGGAUUAGAUACCCUGGUAGUCCACGCCGUAAACGAUGAGUACUAGGUGUAGGAGGUAUCGACCCCUUCUGUGCCGCAGUUAACACAAUAAGUACUCCGCCUGGGAAGUACGAUCGCAAGAUUAAAACUUAAAUGAAUUGACGGGGUCAUAGCUGUUUCCU